UCCGGUUUGUCACCGGCAGUCUCCCUAGAGUGCCCUUGCGUAGCAACUAGGGACAAGGGUUGCGCUCGUUGCGGGACUUAACCCAACAUCUCACGACACGAGCUGACGACAACCAUGCAGCACCUGUCUCCGGUCCAGCCGAACUGAAAAGCUCCAUCUCUGGUGCUCGCGACCGGGAUGUCAAAGGCUGGUAAGGUUCUGCGCGUUGCAUCGAAUUAAACCACAUGCUCCACUGCUUGUGCGGGCCCCCGUCAAUUCCUUUGAGUUUCAACCUUGCGAUCGUACUUCCCAGGUGGAGAACUUAAUGCGUUAGCUAAGUCACUGAUCUCCGAGUUGAGACCAACAUCCAGUUCGCAUCGUUUAGGGCGUGGACUAC
rnacentral:misc_RNA from 1 species